AACGAACGCUGGCGGCAGGCCUAACACAUGCAAGUCGAGCGAGGACUUCGGUCCUAGCGGCGGACGGGUGAGUAACGCGUGGGAACGUGCCCUUUGCUUCGGAAUAGCCCUGGGAAACUGGGAGUAAUACCGGAUGAGCCCUUUGGGGGAAAGAUUUAUCGGCGAAGGAUCGGCCCGCGUUGGAUUAGGUAGUUGGUGGGGUAAUGGCCUACCAAGCCGACGAUCCAUAGCUGGUUUGAGAGGAUGAUCAGCCACACUGGGACUGAGACACGGCCCAGACGCUGAGGGGAGGCAGCAGGGGGGAAUCGUAGACAGGGGGGGAACACAUGAACUGGCGACGCGGGGUGAGAGAUGAAGGGCAUAGUGUUGUAAGGCCAUUCUGAGAGGGAAGAUAAUGACGAUACAAGAAGAAGAACCCGCGGCUAACUCCGCGCCAGCGGCCGGGGUAAGAAUCGGAGGGGCAGACGUCUGAAC
rnacentral:rRNA from 1 species